rnacentral:rRNA from 1 species
AUUGAACGCUGGCGGCAGGCCUAACACAUGCAAGUCGAACGAGUGGCGGACGGGUGAGUAAUGUCUGGGCAACUGCCCGAUGGAGAGGGAUAACAACUGGAAACGGUAGCGAAAACAGCAUACCAUCGGAUGUGCCCAGAUGGCAUUAGCUUGUAGGUGAGGUAACGGCUCACCGAGGCGACAAUCCCUAGCUGGUCUGAGAGGAUGACCAGCCACCCUGGGACUGAGACACGGCCCAGACUCCUACGGGAGGCAGCAGUGGGUAAUCUGGCACUGUUGGCGCAACCCAGAUGCAGCCAUGCCGCGUGUAUGAAGAAGGCCUUCGGGUUGUAAAGUACUUUCAGCGGGGAGGCGUUGCCCGCAGAAGAAGCACCGGCUAACUCCGGGCCAGCAGCCGCGGUAAUAC